GAAAAGUCGUAAAAAACUCUUUCAAUAGCCAUUCGAGUAAUCAACAUUUAACAUUGUUAGCCACGAUUUCAAAAAUUUUUUCGAACUUUUCAAUAUUUAUAAUAUACAAAUAUAUAUUGUAGUAAAUUCGGACAUCUACAAUGGUUUUAAUCACGCCAAUGGAGGCGUGCGCAAAAAAUUAGCAAUGUGCUCAGCCCAUUGAGGCGGAUGCAAAUUUCGGAAAUAAAAUUUAUCGUCACAUUGAUAAGAAAUUUUAAUUAAACUGCAUGCAAAAAAGUGGACAUCGCUCGGUGCGAACACAUUCAACGACGACAAUCAAGGCGGUGCUUGAAAGUGAUGACACAGCGACAUGGCGCUGCAGACACGGCGUUUAAUUGAACAGCAGGCGCAUUGAACACAUCGCAUGUGUGUGUGCGAAGGUGGAUGCAGGCGUCACCUUUUGAAUUCUCUUGAUAGGAUGACGCCACCGCUGAUGAAAUUCAUUGAAUGGACUUCAAUUUAUCGAAAAUUUCAUAUUGGUUCAGAGAAAGCGCAGAUAAUUACGGAGAUUCAAGUCAAAAGCAGUGCACGCAUUGAUGCAAGCACACUGUUGCAUUUAACAGCUGUACCGCGUGGCAACGUCAGAAUACCAAAAAAGGGCAACAAAUUGAAAGCCGAAGCAAGUUUUCGUACAGAUAACAAUGACAUCUUGAUAGCUACUUCAGUCAAUAGCGAAGCCAUCAAAGCUUCAAGGUUCUUUCUUGUCGCAACUUCCAGCCGUUUUCUUAUCUCUACUACGCGAGUAUUUUCAAUUAAAUUACGCAUACAUUUUGAAUGACAAUGUGUUGUUGCAAAAACGCAGGAAAAAAUGCCAACAACCGAGAGUCGUAAAGAUAUGCCAACAACCGGGAGCAUAACUGUAAAUACGUACGACGAAGAGUGGUAAUGUCAAUUUUUCCACCGCACUGACAAGUAAGCAAAAUAUAAGUAGCAGCUAAGAAAAACAACAAAAGCGACAACAACAAUGCAACAGCAGCAGAAACGGUCAAAAUAGCGCAAAUAUUGUACAAGAAAGUUGCAUGUGCCACUUGUAAGAAUUGUCCAAGCGUGCCAUAAGCUCUGCGCAGAAAAGGAAGUGCAACGCCAACGCGCCACAACAGAGUACAGCAACAACAAUAGCUGUAUGGUGUAGCGCAAUAGUUGAAAUACAGCGAAACAGCAUGAAUUACACUGUCAGUGGCAGCGACUUGCGUGAAGUCUAUCUUCCGGCGCUGCAGCUUUCAGUACAACCAUCAACACAAUCUGCGCAGAAUAGAAAUCAGAAUAAAAGUCGAUCGUCAAAAUAGCUGUGGCGCAGUGCCCAUUAAUGCAAUACUCGCAGCUGAAAUUUGCACCUGAAGUUGUGGAAAAAAGAUAGCGGCAGCCAAAUAACCAAACAACCAGCGAGCAACUAAGUGCAAGGCAAAGCAAUUUGGUUAAAAUGUGAACAAGAGGCACUCAGAUGGGUGGUGAAGCGGACAACCCCAGCAGGAAGUUCGCAACUAACGAACUACUAUUUAUCCAGAGUUGUCUAAAAAGUUAUAGGGUUGCCGUCGGAUGAAAUUCAUAUUGAGCACAUGCAGAGAGCGCAUAUUGUGAUUGACAGAUGACCGUCGCCAUUGAGUUCGAUUUGACAGGACUUAAGUACUGGCGUGCAGUUCACUUUUAUGGUAAAAUCACCUUAAACAACAACAGCAGCAAACAUCGUUAACAAAAUAAAAUCAAUACGCGAAAUGGAAAUCUUCAAAAGCGUGAAACUUGUCAACCAUCUGUCAGUCAACAGGAAGCAAUAUCCGGCACGUGCAGUCAACGUGAAACGAAUUCAACACUGGAAGCCUGUUGCUACAAUAAAACUCACUUUGGAUGUGGGUGUAUCUAAAUUAAAAAUCAAAAUCAGCUAAUAGGCAAGAGCUUCCAAGAAAACUGUAUUUCAUUUCUUUAAAUAUUUUAAAUAGGCUGGUCAAUGUUUUACACUGCCACUUGUGUUUCGCAUAAAUAAACCAUUGGUAGGCUAUAAGCUGAAGAUAGGUUAUAGAAUUUACAUCUGACCGAGGUGCUAAGUUUACUUAUUGGUUGUCCCAAGACUGGAUUUUUUAAACACCAACUACUAAGUGAAUACUAAAAUGCUCAAAACUCCAAAAUGAGGAAUACUUGACUUUGUUUUAAGUUUUGUUUAUAAAAUAUGGAUGAGGAAAGCCUGAGGAAGAAGAAGUCGAGAAAUUCAUAUUUUCAUAUUACCAUAAAUAAUAUAAUGUGAUACAAUAAAUCUAUUUGCAUAUAUGAACCAAACUUCCACUUAAAAACACCUGUCAAACCCUUACUCAGGUAUAUUGUGUAACAAAUAUAUCAGUCGAGUGAUCGUAAGAAUCAACUUAUUGAAGGAAACUUUUGGAGAGCGCAUUAUAUCGCUUCAUAGACCUGUAGCGUGGCCUGCAAGAUUGUCUGAUUCAACAAUGCUGAAUUGCUUUUGUGGUGUUAUGAGAAGUCGCUUGGAUAUGCAGAUAACCCCAACACAAUUGACGCCUUGGAAACGAAUAUUCGGUGUGUUAUUGCUGCAAAAAGUGGUCGAAAAUUGGGUCCUUUGGCUUUAAUUACUUGAAAUUACUUUUAAAACAUAAUGA